GAAAUCGCCGCCAGGGCUAGGCUGGUGUUUGUCCUAAGUGGGUACUUGCUUGGGUUGAGAAAUCACAUUUUGGCUAUUCCCCGACUUGAACCAGGGGAUAGAAAUCGUAGUCACCGGCUGGGCGCAGCGGCUCAUGCUGUAAUCCUGGCAGUUUGGGAGGCCGAGGCGGGCAGAUUAUUGAGGUUAGGAGUUCGAGACCAGCCUGGUCAAUAUGAUGAAACACCGCCUCUAGUAAAAAUACAAAAAUUAUCCGGGCGUGGUGGCGAGCGCCUGUAAUCCCAGCUACUCAGGAGGCUGAGGCAGUAGAAUCCCUUGAACCUGGGGUGCGGAGGUUGCAGUGAGCCAAGAUCGCGCCACUGCACUCCAGGCUGGGCGACACGGCGAGACUCUGUCUCAAAACAAAACAAAAGGAAAAGAAGAGAAAAGAAAAAGAAACGCAGGCACCCUGAAAUCGAAACUUGUUAGGACCAACAAGCCAACGACAGACGAAUCUGCGGGGUCCUGCGACAGACACGCCAGCCCCGCCGCCACAGCACAGGGUUCUGGAGGUCGAGCUGUUCUGCGGGUUCUGCGGCGGCGCUGGGAAGAGACGGCGCCCGGGCAGCUCCCCUGUCACCGGCUUGGAGGAGCGGCGGGCUCCCCUAGCCCAGCGCCGCCGCCGCCGCCCGGGAACGCCAGGCUCACCCCAGCUGGGGAAGCUCCGAAUCCCUCAGAUCGGCGACCUGAGUGCUGUCGCCCCGAGAAAAUGGAGGCAUCGAGCAACGAGCUGUGCUGAGACCGAGAGACCUCAGUUCUGCGAAAUGUCGGUGCCUGGAGCUUGCGAAUGACUGCGGCCGGCGGGUUGUCAAGGACAACAUUCCUUAUGGCGCAACCAACAGCGCUGUCACCAAGAAACUGGACUCUGAGAAAAAAGAGGGUUUCGGCCACCGAGAAACUCCGUGCCACAUGUGCCGUGACAGCAAAACCGCCCGCUCCGCGCCGCUGGUGAAAGAGCUAACGAACGCCAGGUGCUGCGACAGUGACACCGGGACUAGAAGGCCUCGGAUGGAGAAUGGGACGCCCAGAGCAAGCAGGAAAACGUUUUGUUUGGCUCAACUAGCGCUGUCGCAACCGGAAAACUGUCAGGCCAGUGCUGCUGCGGAUGUGAGAAACCGGUGAUCCGAAGGCGGAGUGGCGCUGGGCGCUGGACUCGCUGGUGUGAAAAUCUGGCUGCUCUAGGACCCGGCAAGCGCGGGCACCAGGCGAACGCCAGCGACUUUGCCAGACAAAUGCAUGUCUUUUUUGGUCGCCAUUCAAAGAUGCAGCCGGCAGUCAGCCCCGGCUCUGAGAAACAAGUGGAGGUGUCAGCCAUAAACCCUCCGUUCAGGGAAAAGAGAGUCGCUGCGACGGAUCGACUGGCCGUUGGGUGGAACUUUCUUUGGUGGCCUAGUGACUAGAAAAUAAAAACGAAAACGAAAUAAAAAACUGCUACUGACAUUACUCCCACGCUCCCUCCUCAAGUCAGUGGCUUCAGGCUUAAGAAAACCUGUAUUUUUCUUGGCUGAUCCGUGAUCCCUAAUUACUGAGGGCCCCGCGACCCACCAAGUGCGAUUCGCAGAGGGAAAGGAGCUGGAAUAAGGAUCCAGAAUGGGACGGAUUUGGCUCCUCCAGGAAGAAAGCAAAACAAAUGCAGGUCGCGAACACUUUACAUUGCAGGAAGCUGCUCUUCCAGUGGCCGCGGCUGGGUCCUUCCACACCACCUCUCUGUCCUAGGCCUUCGUCCCGGUUCAGCCCUCACGGAUUCUAGGCUAGCGGUCAACAACCGCAUCCCUCCGGAACCUGGAAACUCUAGGUCCGAGAUCUCGGUGAAGAAUGAAAGGCACAGCGCCGCUCAACCCAGGCUUCAGGCCUGCCCCGCUGGUCCCGUCCCUUCCCUGUGGGAUGGAACUCUGUGGGAAUCGCUCCUUAUUCUGAUGGUUCACUCAUUCAGAUGUCCUUGAUAUUUGGGGAUAUUUCUAAAACAGCUGGGGAGAAAAAUGGACUGCGAGGCUCCGGUGUUGGACGUGAAAUUGGCAGUGAGACAUCCGCCUCUAAGCCCAGGGAAAAGCUUAAAUUGUGGUUCUCUGUCUCUAGCACCGUGAUCUUUGAAAUGCGUUAUUGAUUUUCUUCUUUCUUCUGGGAAAUGCAAUGCAGGUGAACUGGUCCUGCAUGCCAGUAAAACUACUCAUGUCAGCUGUUCUGCAGGAUCCCAUGAGAAGGUGAGUCACCAGAAAAUGCAGUUUCCACAUCCUGAUGAUUUCAUCUCCCUACCCCAACUGAUCAAUUUCUCCAAUUUUCCAGCCUCUCACCCUCCACAAUCCCCUUAAAAACUGUAGCCCAGAACUCUCUGGAAUGAUGAAUUUGAAGGUUUGCUCCUGUCUCCUCACUCAGAAGCCUGUAAUCAUUAAACUCUUUCUCUGAUGCAAACUCUGCUGUCUCAGUGUAAUUGGUAUGUAAGUGUGCAGCAGGCAUAUGAAUCUGUUGGUCCUGUAACAGUUGGGAUGCAGUGGCACAAUUGUAGCUCACUGUAAUCUCUACCUCCUACACCUAAGGGAACCUUACCACCUCAGCACUCGGAAUAGCUAGGACUUUAGGUCUGUGUGCUACCACCCAUGGCUAAUUUAUAAAAUAAUUUCUUUGUAGAGACAGGAUCUUUCUAUAUAGCCUGGGCUGGUCUCAAACUCCUGGCCUCAAGGUAUCCUCCCCACUCUGCAUCACAAAGAGCUGUCAUUACAUGUGUGAGAUACCAUACCCUGCCCAUGGUAGAAUAUUAACACAUGGGUGUGAAAUGUUGGCUUCAGUCUGGCAUGUUAUUACUUUAUUAACAGUAAAGAAUAAUAUCUGAUCAUGAAAUUGUUUUUUUUUGUAAAUAGAAUAUUUUCUAUUUACAUUGAUGCUUUUGUAAAUAGAAUAUUUGACUCUGAUGAAGACAUAUUAUAAUUUCACUAUGGAUAUGACCUGAAAUGGAAAAAAUUGACUUACAGAAAAAAUACACCAAAGAAGUCACCAUUUUAUAUUUGUUCUUAUUACAAUUAUCUUUCAAGCCAUAAAAAACAAAAAUUAGUGAUUUUAUUACCAACUGAGAAGAUUAUUUUCUGCCAAGCAAUCUCUAAACAUUAACUUUUACUAGGAAUGUAUUCAUGAAAGGGACUUUGUAAAAUAGGAGCAAAUUUGACCUCUUAUUUAAUCAUUCAGAGAUGAAAUAAAAUAUAAUACAUUAUUUGAAAAGAUAUCCAGGAAGCAGGAAGUACAGUCAGGGAUCCCAGGAAUGGGUGUGGUGAUGUCUGUUGCACCAGGGCUUAGAGGGCAGGAUCUUUCCUCUAGAAACUCUGUGUGUCAGGCAUGCCUAGACAAAAUACACUUAUAUUUGAUGUUUUAGCAUAUCAAAGAGGUAUUGCUUGGUUUAAAGAUGAGGCUCAGUGAGUUUACACCACAGUCCAAGAUCACAAAGGUAGUUCAUGCUGGAGCUGGAUUGAAGUCCCAGGUUAUCAGGCAUUCAUAUCAAGUAGGGAAAUGAGUAAAGAAAUAAUUAGGUUGGGUUUUGAAAAAGAAGAAUCCUAUGCCUUACAUAAAAUUGUACCUUAAAAAUUUUUUUGGCUGGGCGUGGUGGCUCUUGCCUGUAAUCCCAGCACUUUGGGAGGCCGAGGCAGGCGGAUUACAAGGUCAGGAGAUCGAGACCAUCCUGGCUAACACGGUGAAACCCCGUCUCUACUAAAAAUACAAAAAAUUAUCCGGUGCGGUGGUGGGCGCCUGUAGUCCCAGCUACUCCGGAGGCUGAGGCAGGAGAAUGGCGUGAACCCGGGAGGCGGAGUUUGCAGCGAGCGGAGAUCGCGCCAUUGCACUCCAGCCUGGGCGACAGACCGAGACUCCAUCUCAAAAAACAUAAAAAUAAAAAAAAGGGCAAAUAUGUUGAGCUAAUAUGAUGCUUUUUACAGUAUUUUUUUUCAAGACCCUUAUAUGUUAUGUGAUUAUAUGCAUUUUUUUAAGUUAUUCUCCUUCCUCUGUUAUUCCUACUUCCACUGCAAUUCCUCUCAUCAGUAACUACCAGUUUUAACAUUACAUUAUCCAAAAAAGAGGUGGAUGGAGUCUCGGCUGCAUAUGCUAAUGUUGCACCUUGGACGAGUGAUGUAAUGCCUUUUGCCAUUUUGCAUUUCCAAAUAUAUU
rnacentral:lncRNA from 1 species